GUUGGGUGUGGUGGUGCACACCUGUAAUCCCAGCUACUCAGGAGGCUGAGACAGGAUAACUGCUUGAACCCGGGAGGCAGAGGUUGCAGUGAGCCAAGAUGAGGCCACUGCACUGCAUCCUGGGUGACAGAGCAAGAUUCUGUCUCAA
rnacentral:SRP_RNA from 1 species